AUCAAGUAGUUGAUGGUGAUGCUCUGGUGAUGGCGAGGUCACUCGCAAAGAUGUUGAUUUCACGGCGAAAUAAUUUCUCUACAAUCACUCGAUACUUUACCGACAACUCUACGACGCAGUUUAAAGUUGGUGACGAGGUGAAAGUGCGUCGGACUGUUACUGUAGAAGAUGUGACCACAUUUGCCCAACUGACGGGUGACACAAACCCUAUCCAUUUGGAUGAACAUUUUGCAAAGAAAACCGAACUUGGACAACUUGUAGUACAUGGGGUUAUACUCAACGGAAUAGUUUCAGCUGUCCACGGCACCAAGCUCCCAGGUCCUGGAUGCAUGGUUGUGUCACAAUCUCUGAACUAUCCAGCCCCUUUAUUUCCAGGGGAAGAGGUUUUGACUCACAUUAGGGUUACCAGAUUAAGGCAUGCUAUCAUGAUUUGUGAUGUGAUCUGCACAGCAGUUCAAAGGAGGAAAGUUGUGUUAUGUGGUGAGACAAAGUUGUUACUUCCCAAGAAAGCUGGCUGAAGUGAAGUAAACAAGUGUUUUGUCGAUCACCAAGUAAAUAAGAUGUUCUCAGCUGGAAAAAGUGGCAUAUGGGAACAAAAAAUAACUACCAGGUUAUCGCAAGCAAGCUUGGCUGUCACUCAGAUCUCCUUCCCUGUCCCCUCUCAAGUUUGUAUUCCUGUUAUAUUACAUAUGCAAUGUUGUUUUUUUUGCUUCACGCAAAGAAGAACUUCGCUUGAGAUUCUGGGAACCUCAAUUGACAGGUGACAAGAUACUUCCAAGAAUGUUAAACUUCUUCCAUGAAAGAGCGCCUAAAGAAAUUGUCUGCGAACCUUGUUUCGUCGAUUACCAAUCGGCCGUUAUUGGUAUUUGCAGAGGAACUGUCA
rnacentral:misc_RNA from 1 species